UUCGCUCUCCGUUCUUCCUCGCUUGUGCUCCCUGCCAUCUUAGCAAACGCCGCCUUCUUUGCAUCCAUUUUUCCUUGGACUACAUCGUUCCACCACCGGUCACCCUGAUGUCUGCCUGGAUAGCCUUUGGCUACCCCGAGCACAUCUCGUGCUACCUCACUAACCAAGUUCGCCGUCUCUGACCACAUAUCAUCCGCUUCCCCAGAACUCCUCCAAGCUCCG
rnacentral:lncRNA from 1 species